GCUGAAGGAAGAAGGGCGCAAUGGAGACCGCGAGCUCGGAGGAGCUGUGUCGGAGAUGGCUGCCGACAGAAGGGGCGCAGGAGGGUGUGGGGAGCGCAGGCGCCUGCUCCUCCCGGGUGGGGGCUGACUUUGGAGACCCCCUUCCCUUAAAGCGCGUGUGCCCAGGCGGGCGUAUUGUCUCCUCGUGGUCCCGCGUCCUGUUCCCGCCGCGUCGGGGGAUGCGUCCCGGGCGCUCGCUCCAGCCAGGGCUGCGGGCAGCUCCUCCUCGAGGCGCGCGCAGCCUUGGAGCCCAGAGCGGGACCACGUUUUUGUUCCUAGUGCCCAGGUGACCCGUUACUUCUCACAUCUGAGCAGAGCGCUACCGCAGAAAGAAAAGCCGGUUCGCCCUGCUCAUUUGCUGCCCCCUUUUCCCCUUCCCCUUCCCUCCCUUCCUGUAAGGGACGAAUAGGCGUGAAGUUUGUUUUUUCUCGGUUCAUGGUAGUGAAGUUACGGGGCUGCUUCAGGCCGGAUAAAGUCCCCGCCGCUUCCUCUUUCGGGACUAUUAGUGGACCAGACCUCACGCUGUGCAGGCUUGCUCUUGGGCUGCAAAUAACUCUCUGCCCCUUCACCCCUAACCCCACCCUCAACCCCAUCCCUGUGACUUUGCCAUUCUGGCCGCCAGGUGAAGACUCCCGGGGCGGGACUCCCCAUCCAAAACGCUUUCUCUUAAAAAAAGAAAAAGAAAAAGAAAAAAAAAGCCACCGACCAGGAAGGUAAAAUAUUUUACGGAACCAGGCAGGGGCCUCAUUUUGCCUUUUGCUGCUGGUAUGAGAAAAGCACCCUUUCACAACUAGUAGAGUACCAGAUACUGGUCUCAUUUCACAAAUAGUAGAGUACCAGAUAUUGGUCGCAAUCUGGACUCUGGUCUUUUGGAUCUAAAUCGGGGUCGCGGUCUAUUUUCUUGUUCUUUUUUUGGAUAUGACCCAGGGCUCUUGCCUUUUACAAACGGAGUCUAUCUGACUGCCAGCUAAAGUUCAUCUGUGGUUGGUGCAGUUUUAGGCCCAGGUGAGCCCUGAAAAUAGAGUAUCAGAAAAGUGGAUUACUGUCUUUCCUCCUUACGAAAACAGAACAGGCUGUGUUUUUGAGUCCUCCCUCCAGCCCUCGUGCCUAAGUGGCUUUCAUUGUUUGCUAAUUCCCUGUAUGUUGCGGCUGCUCCGGGCCAUUCUGCCUUCGGAUUUUCUCCACUUGUGGGUAACCAUGAAGUAGUUAUACUGACUCUCUGCUCUCCCUGGGUGCAUUCUUCUCAUGCUCAGUAAAUCUACAUUUUACAUAAGAUAAAGUAAGCAUGUGAAAUUAUAGCUAUCUGUUUGGCAACAAAAGGAAUGCAGUUUUGUUUUCGGUUUUGUUUUUUGCAUGACUGAGUUCCCAAGCUUAACUUUUCCCUUUGGCUUCCUGAGCUUGGGGUCCUAAGGUUGUAUUUUCCUUUCACAGCUAUCAGCAGAGACAGGUGGCCAUCAACAGUUAGGAAAGAGUCUGGGCUGGGUGGCUGCCUGUCUUCCCAGAGCUUUGGGAGGCUGAGGUGGGAGGAUUGCUUGAACCCAGGAGUUCCAGGCUUAGAGCUGGGAUCACUUGGUUGGAGCUAGGAUCGUGCCACUGCACUCCAUCCGGGUGACAGAGUUCAGACCCUGUCUUUAACCUACCCCGCAAUGCCCCGCUGCCCCCCCCCCCCACCAAAAAAAAAAAUAACUGGGCAGGAGAAGGUGCUUUCAGAGUCCAAGACUCAGGUUCCAUGUUUGGAGUUGAGAUUCUGCCCCAGUAGGGUUGAGGUGGCACGGCAGCCUGUGGGGCUUUAAUGGAGAAUCUGCUUGGAAGGGGUGGGUGCUCCAAGUGUUCUGGGAGCUGAGAAGCAGGACUUUAUUAUGGAUGACACCAGGCCAUCCUGGACCCUUCUCUCAUCCAGUCUUGCUGGGGAGGGAUACAGAGCCACGAGGAUGCUGAGAACUGUUCAUGAUAACCUCCAGGGCUACUGCUAGCCUAUUCAGUCCUUCGCAUGAAUUAGAAUAAGGUGCUCUGUCUUGGCAAGAAGAUGGGGCUUGAUGCCUGUUAGAAAUACUGGCCUUACUUGAGUGGACAUAGCCAAGCCAUAUAGCUGGAUAAGUGGCAUGUGAGCUGGAUUUAUCCUCACCCCUCAGCCAGGUGCCUUAAGCAGUACACUGCCUGGUCCACCAUUCACACAGCAGCCCUGAUAAACAACCACUAUUGAGGGCUUAACAUUCGCCAGGCUUUUUUUUUCCCCCCCCAAAAGUACUUAGCCUGUAUUAACUCAUUUAAUCCUCACAGUAGCCGUAUGAGUUAGGUAUUGUUAACUCCAUUUUACAGAUGAGGAAACUGAGGCACAGGGAUGUUAAGUGUUCCGGAGCCUGGAAGGUGAGUCUUAAUCACUGGGCUUCAUAGACCAAGAAGCAACUUAAGCUUAAAAAGCUAGUUUAAUUGGGAACCCUCGUGGGAAAGGGGGAAGAACAGUUGCCUUUUUCUUUCUUUGUCAAAGGAGGAAAUACCCAUUCUCAGUCCAGGUGGAGGAAGGAGGGGAAAUUCAUCUGGCAGGAGGCAGAGGAGGAAAGAAAAGAGGCAAGCCGGGCCUUGAUGGCUGAUGGGGAGCCUGGCCCAAGAAUCAAGUGACUUUCCUUAAUCUCUGGGCGGUGUGAGGUGGCAGAUCCAGUUUGGGGCCUGGCAUGAGGGUGAUGAGUAAGUGCCCCCAGGUGUGGCUCAGAGGGAAACGGCGGUGGCUGCAUGCAGGGUCCUGACCUAGGCAGAGAGCGAGUGGAAGGAGGUGAGACAACUGUCCUGACCUUCCCAACCCCUAAUCCCCAUCUGUGGUCUCUUGCUUCCUUGUUGAAGUCCUGUUCACUCACAAAUGCCCUUCUCAAGUUCGUCCAAGAACCCUUCCUGAAACUCCAUUUCACAGUUCCAUAUACAUGAUCUCUUAGUUUCCACACCGUACAGCUGAGCGCUUAAUUAGCUGGAACCGAGCAUUUCACUAUGUACUGUCGAUAGGCACUUUAAACAAAAUAGGCUUCUCAUCAGUGAGGAAGUCAAGAUGCCUCCUGGGAGGGGCCAGCUGGUGCCCAGCAGAUUGCUCAGAGGGUGGUGUUUACCUGGAUCAUGUCACCUGUCCCAGGGCAUGGCUCUUAGCUGUGCCCGCUCAGAAACCCAAUUUCCAUAAUUUUCAGAGUGGUUUGGACUCAAGCUACUGAUUCACCCUGAGAAAGCUCCCAGAAGAGGGUGUACGAAUCAGAAUGCUGAUUUAUUGAUUUGCAAGGAGACUUUGCAAACAUCACACAGACUGAAUGUCGUCUCUUCCCUGCGUCCUAGACAAGCCAUAUGGGAAACCAAAGACCAGAAGGUGGACUGCGCUUAUCAAAGCUGGAGUCAGAACCAGGAAAGCUCCAACCAUGGCCAUGGGGCUCUUCCGCGUGUGUCUGGUGGUGGUGACGGCCAUCAUCAACCACCCGCUGCUGUUCCCACGGGAGAACGCCACGGUCCCCGAGAAUGAGGAGGAGAUCAUCCGCAAGAUGCAGGCGCACCAGGAGAAGCUGCAGCUGGAGCAGUUGCGCCUGGAGGAGGAGGUGGCUCGGCUGGCGGCCGAAAAGGAGGCACUGGAGCAGGUGGCGGAGGAGGGCAGGCAGCAGAACGAGACACGCGUGGCCUGGGACCUCUGGAGCACCCUCUGCAUGAUCCUCUUCCUGAUGAUCGAGGUGUGGCGGCAGGACCACCAGGAGGGGCCCUCACCUGAGUGCCUGGGCGGCGAGGAGGAUGAGCUGCCUGGGCUGGGGGGCGCCCCCUUGCAGGGCCUCACCCUGCCCAACAAGGCCACGCUUGGCCACUUUUAUGAGCGCUGUAUCCGGGGGGCCACGGCCGAUGCAGCCCGUACCCGGGAGUUCCUGGAAGGCUUCGUGGAUGACUUGCUGGAAGCCCUGAGGAGCCUCUGCAACCGGGACACCGACAUGGAGGUGGAGGACUUCAUUGGCGUGGACAGCAUGUACGAGAACUGGCAGGUGGACAGGCCACUGCUGUGCCACCUUUUCGUGCCCUUCACACCCCCCGAGCCCUACCGCUUCCACCCAGAACUCUGGUGCUCCGGCCGCUCAGUGCCCCUGGAUCGCCAGGGCUACGGCCAGAUCAAGGUGGUCCGCGCCGAUGGGGACACACUGAGCUGCAUCUGCGGCAAGACCAAGCUCGGGGAAGACAUGCUGUGUCUCCUGCACGGCAGGAACAGCAUGGCGCCUCCCUGCGGCGACAUGGAGAACCUGCUGUGUGCCACAGAUUCCCUGUACCUGGACACGAUGCAGGUCAUGAAGUGGUUCCAGACGGCCCUCACCAGAGCCUGGAAGGGCAUCGCCCACAAGUACGAGUUCGACCUGGCCUUUGGCCAGCUGGACAGCCCGGGGUCCCUGAAGAUCAAGUUCCGUUCAGGGAAGUUCAUGCCCUUCAACCUGAUUCCUGUGAUCCAGUGUGAUGACUCGGACCUGUACUUUGUCUCCCACCUUCCCAGGGAGCCCUCUGAGGGCACCCCAGCCUCCAGCACAGACUGGCUCCUGUCCUUUGCUGUCUACGAGCGACACUUCCUCAGGACGACACUAAAGGCACUGCCCGAGGGCGCCUGCCACCUCAGCUGCCUGCAAAUAGCAUCCUUCCUGCUCUCCAAGCAGAGCCGCCUGACCGGCCCCAGCGGGCUCAGCAGCUACCACCUGAAGACGGCCCUACUGCACCUCCUACUCCUCCGGCAGGCCGCCGACUGGAAGGCGGGGCAGCUGGACGCUCGUCUGCAUGAGUUGCUGUGCUUCCUGGAGAAGAGCUUGCUCCAGAAGAAGCUCAACCACUUCUUCAUCGGCAACCGCAAGGUGCCUGAGGCCAUGGGACUCCCUGAGGCCGUGCUCAGGGCCGAGCCCCUCAACCUCUUCCGGCCCUUCGUCCUGCAGCGAAGCCUUUACCGUAAGACACUGGACUCCUUCUAUGAGAUGCUCAAGAAUGCCCCAGCGCUCAUUAGCGAGUAUUCCCUACAUGUCCCCUCAGACCAGCCUACCCCAAAAAGCUGACGUCUUGUAGAGAAUGUGGGAUCCUCGAGCUAAGAUGAGGGCAUCCCUCACGUUCACACCCCUGGUGGCAUCUGCCAGCCCUGUUCUGGGGACAAGGCGGGCUUUCGUGGGAGCCGUGCUCAGCCUGCCAGGAAGCCAAGCCCUACAGUGCAGAGGAAACAGAAUUUCAACGGGAGGCUGGUUUGCUUCAUACCAUUGGGAUCUGCUGGUAAAGCUGUUAUUUGGGUUUAGGGACUGAUCCCUUGCAGUUUACUUCUGGAUCACCAUGAAUGGCCAAGAUGGUGGCAGAACACGCUGUGGACCCUGAGUUAGAGACAAUGCAAAUGUUGGAUUGGGUGUAAUUCUUUUUGAAUCCCAGAUCGAGUCUGUACUUGAAUAUGAGCAGAGGAUCUACAAGAAUGCUGACAGGGAACCGUGUGAAGACCCAGCACCCCUAUUCCCAGGAGCUUCUGGCCUGACCAUCUGCAGCCAAAGCACUAACAGGGACAGAUGUGGGAAUGUCCACCUUUGAUCCACAUCCUGCACAAUAGUGGUCCCACCAUGGCUGCCACUUUUUUAUACUAUUUGGAGAAAAGACCUUGUAUAAAUUCGAGGCCCGAGUGACUAACGUCUCUCACACGGAAAUGGGUACUUGGUGGCAUAGAGAAACAUACUUAGCCACUUUUUCAGCUACACUUCUCACUCAGCUGCACCCUACACUUCUCACUCAGGUGCACCCCCUUCUGCUGUCCUUUCCCCAACGUACUGGGUCCCGAGCGUGGUGGGUAUUUGCCACACUGGGUGCCAGCUCAGCAGCCCUCCACCUCUCUUUAUUCUCUCCAAAGCUGGUCUUUCUGACUAUCAUUGUGGUAGGGGGAGGACAGAUGCUAAAGGUGGAAGCUGACCUGGAGAAAGAGACACACGGGGUGACUGUGGCAAAGGACAGCUGGAAAAGAAACUAUCACUUCUUCAUUGGCAACCGCAAGGCGCCCGAGGCCACGGCACUCCCAGAGGCUGUGCGCAGAGCCAAGCCUCUCAACCUCUUCUGGCCCUGCGUCCUGCAGCGAAGUCUCUGCUGUAAGACGGUAGACUCCUUCGAUGAGGAUCUAAGCCGGCCAUGCCUUCCAGAGAGCAUAACCAACUCGACAGGGGUGCCCAGUUACCCCACAAACUGAAGGAAGGAGAUCCUGCCCCCGUCCCCAGGAGUGCUCUCAACCAGCCUCAGAAAGCUUGAGAAGAUGGACCCUUUGCCCACCAGGGUUAAUUCCUGGUGGGGCAGCUCGGCUGUGAUCAGGGCACCCAAACCUAUAGGAAGCCUUCCAGUGUGAGCUGGAAUUAGACUGAACAUGUGCUUGGGCCUGCCUCUCCCUAGACCCAGCUGCGGGGCACUCCAGGGAAUGAACCAGCUCAAGUGUGUCUCUUAACAGCAGCCUGGAGCUACCCCAAUCCCUCACAGCCUGACCCUCCUCAUUCCAUCAGAUGCAUUUGUAGAAUCGCGGCAAAUUUCCUUAUUUAUUUAUGGCCCAUGCCUUUCCCCCUCUUCAUCCUGAUCCCGUUUUGCUUUGAAGAGACCCCAGUAACCAAAAAACAGCCUCCAGAAGCCAAAACCAUGCCUGGAUCUCCCAUAGCUUCUCCUUUGCUUCCAGGAGAAAGUUCACUGAAAAAAAAAAAUAUCUUCUGGCUUCUUGUGUAUACAGAGACAACAGAACUCGGUGGGGAAACAGGAAUCUUUUCUGCACCAAAGCUGCUUCUAAAGCAGAAAGCAGUGGGGCUCUUGGUGUUUCAUGCUGCCUUAUUUAUAUUAAAGGAAGAAUUAAAUCUUGCAAGGAGUAGAAA